rnacentral:rRNA from 1 species
UACGAAGGGGCUAGCGUUGCUCGGAAUUACUGGGCGUAAAGGGCGCGUAGGCGGCCACCGCAAGUCGACUGUGAAAUCUCCGGGCUUAACCCGGAAAGGUCAGCCGAUACUGCGGGCUAGAGUGCAGAAGGGCAACUGGAAUUCUCGGUGUAGCGGUGAAAUGCGUAGAUAUCGAGAGGAACACCUGCGGCGAAGGCGGGUUGCUGGGCUGACACUGACGCUGAUGCGCGAAAGCUAGGGGAGCGAACGGG